GCGCCUGUGGCUGGAAUCGGUAGACGCAGCGGUUUAGAAAACCGCCACCCUGGACGGGGUAUGUGAGUUCGAAUCUCACCGGGCGCA
rnacentral:tRNA from 1 species